CAAUGAAUCAUUCGAGACGGAGGAAGACAAAUCAGUCCACCACGGAGAACUGUUGAAUGACUAUCCCAGAAAGGUAUAUUUGUUUGCUAUUAUAUCUGUUUUUAAAUAAGCGACAUUAUUUUUUAUUAUCUUCAGUUCAAGGAUUUUCUGGGGUAUUUGAACAGCCGUUCUGAUGGAAAAGCUAUCGUUAAGUUUUAUCGCGAUAAUGGAACAUUGACCAAUUCAUUGCGAAACGACCUUGCAAAAAUGAUUCUUCUAGACGCAGCGGUGGAGGGUCUUCCGCUUAAUAGGAAUUUUUAUGAGCUCAUGAGCAAAAAAAUUGCUGCAACUUUCGCAACUGAAAAUCCGGUUAGUAUACAUUUAAUCACGGUUGAAUAGAUACAAACGAUACAAAAAAGUGUGUCCUAAUGAAAUAGACAGCAUUUUCAAAAUUAGUGUCAGAUCAUCUGCGAUUAUAUGUUUUAUUUCAAAAUUUAACAGCGUAAUAGGGUAUUAUAUAUUUUUAGGAAGUUUACUACAAACCUGGUCAUGCCAAAGCUGAAGGCGGUAGAUUAGGACCAACCGGAAAAUUGGUUAAAAGGAAGGGUUCAGUGCUUCAAACACUUGGUUUGAAAAAGCCCAAAGAAAAAAAGAUCGAUACUGUGCAACCGUCACCGUCUUUCAGUGGUAACUAAAAUAAUAAAAUAAUAUUUUUGUGGUUAGGUAUAGAUAAAGUUUUACAUUUUUCUUUAGACGAAGGACAACUAGCCGCUAGAAGCUGGCUUGUAUAUGGACGCUCUCCAAUCGAAAUGGUACGAACGAAUUGGGAAGCAUGUUACGAUUUGCGUCGAGAUGAUAUCACCAAUGCGAAAGACCUAUCGGAAUUAUUCCAACUCUACCCGAUCUUCAAAGAUCCUAAAUCGACAUAUCUUCUUGAGCUUGACUUUGAAAAGAUGCAUCCUGGUGCUACGAGUUCCUUUUACAGCCGAUUCCCGUUGCUGCACAAUAAGCUGGACAAGCUGAUUUCUUCUGCGGUUUCAAAAGACAAAGCCUAUCAACCCCUCUACGACGCAUACAUUACCACGUCAGAUGGAGAUAAAAAAGAUUAUCUGCUCUGCUUGUUGCUUCCGGUAAUUAUUCAAACAAAUUACCGAGUGAAGGGAAACUGGAAACCAUCGGUAAAAGAAACACAAGACAGCUUCAUUUUGGAAGUAGAGGUGAGUUACUAAAAUUGUGAAUCGGCAAAUUUGAAGAAUCGACACGACAUACACAAAUGUAUGCAAAAGGGUUUCGCUAAUAUGUUUUUAAAUAUGUCUUUUUAAUACAUUUGAAAUUGACAGUGACGAUUUAUUUAUAUACUAUCAAAACUA